rnacentral:rRNA from 1 species
CCUACGGGCGGCAGCAGUGGGGGAUAUUGCACAAUGGGGGGAACCCUGAUGCAGCGACGCCGCGUGGGUGAAGGAGUGCUUCGGCAUGUAAAGCCCUAUCGGCAGGGAAGAAGCAAGACGGUACCUGACUCAGCAGCACCGGCUAACUACGUGCCAGCAGCCGCGGUAAUACGGAGGGGGCGAGCGUUAUCCGGAUUCACUGGGUGUACGGGGAGCGUAGACGGCCAUGCAAGCCAGGGGUGAAAGCCCGGGGCCCAACCCCGGGACUGCCCUUGGAACUGCAUGGCUGGAGUGCGGGUGGGGUAGGCGGAAUGCCUGGUGUAGCGGUGAAAUGCGUAGAUAUCAGAAAGAACACCGACGGCGAAGGCGGCCUGCUGGGCCGCGACUGACGUUGAGGCUCGAAAGCGUGGGGAGCGAACAGGAUUAGAUACCCGAGUAGUC